rnacentral:rRNA from 1 species
UACGUAGGGUGCGAGCGUUGUCCGGAAUUAUUGGGCGUAAAGGGCUCGUAGGCGGUUUGUCGCGUCGGGAGUGAAAACCAUGAGCUUAACUCAUGGCUUGCUUUCGAUACGGGCAGACUAGAGGUAUGCAGGGGAGAACGGAAUUCCUGGUGUAGCGGUGAAAUGCGCAGAUAUCAGGAGGAACACCAAUUGCGAAGGCAGCUCGCUGGACGUUACUGACGCUGAGACGCGAAAGCUAGGGAGCGAACAGG